rnacentral:rRNA from 1 species
GACGAACGCUGGCGGCGUGCUUAACACAUGCAAGUCGAACGGAAAGGCCCUGCUUGCGUGGUGUUCUCGAGUGGCGAACGGGUGAGUAACACGUGUGUAACCUGCUCUUCACUUUGGUAUAACUUCAGGAAACUGGGGCUAAUACCGUAUAGGAUCUCCUGCUGGAUGGUGGGGGUUGGAAAUUUUCGGCGGUCGGGGAUGGACUCGCGGCUUAUCAGUUUGUUGGUGGGGGAGUUGCUUACCAAGGACUUGGCGGGUAGCCGGCCUGGGAGGGUGACCGGCAACAUUGGGACUGAGAUACGGCCCAGCCUCCUACGGGAGGCAGCAGUGGGGAAUAUUGCACAAUGGGCGGAAGCCUGAUGAAGAAACGCCGCGUGCGGAAUGACGGCCUUCGGGUUGUAAACCGCUUUAGCCUGUGACGAAGCAUGAGUGACGGUAAUGGGUAAAGAAGCACCGGCUAACUACGUG